CUAAACCUAGAGCGUCGUCCACCGUAUACACUUCACUCUUCCCUCCAACAGUUCACUCUUCACUCAGCCUCACCUCCCUCUUCUCCUCUCCAAGCUCUCUGCGGAGACAGAUCUGAGAGUUCCCGAGAUCCAGUCGUUGUCGGAUCUUCCUGUCGAUGAGGAAACAUAACCUCUCCACUUGCUUCUGAUAAAGAUUGGAGCAGAGCUCUCAAGGAAGUGGAUAAACUCACCCAAUGAUGAAUGUGAAAUCUUGUCAACAGGUGUAGGUUUGAUUUCAAGUCAGCCAGGAUCCAACUUGUUCUGCAAUUGAUAUAUUCCCCAUGCGGAAGGCCAUGGUCAGCAUGCUGAGUAGCCGCUCUCACUCCUGGUAGUGAGCGUCUUGGCAAGAUUGAAGUAGAAGGAGAGAUGCUGAAGGAAUCUUAAUUCAUCAAUAAAUCUCUAUCAGCUUUGGGAGAUGUGAUCUCUGCUCUUGCCUCCAAGAACCCACAUAUUCCAUAUAGAUUCCUUCUAAUGCUCAUAGUCAUAUGCUUCUAUUUUACUAUCUAAACUAGUUUGAAUUUUUCAUUGUACUAGAGGAGAGAUGAAUUUUGCAGGAACUCUAAGCUAACACAUUUGCUCCAGAGCUCUCUAGGUGAGAAAAAACCUUAAGAAUAGUAAACAUCUAGCUGUGAUGAUCUUGUUGUUUAGGUUCAAAAACAACAACUAGUUUAUAUCGUUAUUUUUAUUGCCAGAAGAAAAUUUGACGCAUUACCUUUCACUGAUAAUUUUGAUUCACAAUAGGAGAUUGCAAGACACUCAUGUUUGCACAUAUUACCCUUAUAACAGAUUAUUUCAAAUGUGCAGAUCAAAGAAACUGAACAAACAAGUAAAAAUUAUCAGCAAAAGGUUACUUAUCUCAUUUUCAAUCUCUAUUUGAGUAGAAUUUAUAGCAUCUUUAAUUCCCCUUAUGUAAGCAACAAACUGCUUUAUAUCCAUAUUGACUAUUUUCUUCUAUUCAGGUAAGAGAACUGGAGAAUCAAUUAAAUGGUGAGAGGACAACCAAGAAGGAUGUUGCAAAGUUCCCAAAGCCUCCAGUGGCUCCUUUAAGAUGGAGGUCUCCUUUACAAAGAAUCACCAAUCAGUUGUCAUCCUCAGGACAUCAAAUAAGCAGAGGUGUCCAUCCAGUAAUAGAUAAAGAGAAUUGUCUAUUAACAAAUAAAACUACUGGGGAAGAUUUAGUUAAAUCUCUGUACAGAGCAAGAAGGAUAACGUUGGCACCAGUAAGAAGAAUAUUUGUGUACUAUC